CAAACCCGAGCAUGGUUAUCAAUGAAUGUAACGAACCACUUUGUAUGGGUGCGAUUAGGGAUUCGUGAAGGUCCCCAUAAAUUGCUGUGAAUUAUAGAGAAUGGUUUAGAUGGUUUGUACACGGAUUUCGAGAAAGUAUUACGUUGGUGUUUUGCUAGUUCACAAAUUUCACAUUGAAAAUCAAAUGAAGUUUUAUUCGAAAAGAUAGACGGAAGCACGUUUAAGAUAUUGAAUAUUGGGAUGACCCAUUCUGUAAUACCACAAUAAGAUUUCACUAUCCCUAGAGACAUGCAGAAUCAAAAUUGCAAUUUGGCUUGGCUUACUCAUAUCUGCCUCCUCAAAGACCUCAAAGACCCUCAUACUCUUUGACACUGUUAAUCGUCUUUUUCGAUUAUAGGUCCUAAAAGAUACAAGAAGAAGGGAAAAAUUUAGCUGAGCAAUUUGAGGUUUUUGUUAAAUGACAGCAAGUUUCAAGUUAAUUUUGGAACAUGAAGUACUGAAUUUAGUGUUAUAGAUUCAAAUAAUUGGAUACUUCCUUUUCCUACCACAGUUGAGAGUGACCCAUCCGCAAUUUUAACCUUAAUAUUGCCGGUACAAGUUGUGUAUGAUGAGAAAAGUUGGUGGGCUCCAGUCAUGUGAUCCGACGCUCCUGAAUCAAUAAUCCAAGGAAUUUUGUAUUUCGAGGACGUAGUCAAGGCACUUGAGUGAUUACCUUUGUGAGCUAGUGAGCUUGAAGGGUCGUGUGUGGAAGGUUGACCUGAAGUUUGAAGACUGGAAAAGAUUUGAUAAAGUUGUUCCAAUUGUUCAGGAUUAAAUGCUCGCCCUGUAGUGGAAUUAUCUUUAAAAUUUUCCGUAUGAUCAAUUGCUGCUUGAUAGCCUCGAUUCCUGGUAUUUCGCCUUGGCUUCCGAUCAGUAGGUUUCCUGUGUAAAUCCCAGCAUGUAUCUUCCUUGUGUCUUAGUUUACUACAGUGUUCACACCAAGGCCUCCCCCUUUGUUGUUUUGAUCUAAUUGAAACCGACCCAUUUAAUCCAGGCCCAAUAGAGUCAUUUGGCCCAUUAUAUGGUUUUUCAGCCCAUCCACCUUUAGUAAUAAAAUUAGGCCCAUUCGGCCCAGUCACUGCCAACGGCCCAUUAAUCGCUUUCCCAUUUCUUUUGAACCCAGGUCCAUUCCGUUUCAGCAGCAACGCCGAUUCUACUGCACUGUCAUCUUCGCCAGUCUUCAUGAUAAUUUUCCGGCGAUUUUCCUCCCUUCGGACUUCUGCAAAGACCUCUCUCGUGGUUGGCAGUGGUCGUCGGCUCAAGAUUCACCCCCAACAUCAUCCAGGUCUCGGUUAAGGCUUGCAAGAAAUUCAAAAACCCGUUCGUUUUCAACCCUUUUCCGGUACCGUACACUAUCGCUUGGAGAUUCCUAUUCUUCCUCGAGGCAGAGGUCCAGUUCUUGCCACAUAUUCGUCAUUUCCAAGUAGUAGUUAGUGACUUCUCUUUCCCCUUGUUUGGUUUGCCAUAACCGGGUCUUCAAUUCGAAGAUUAGUGAGGCGUUUACUCCAUCAUAGUAUGUGUCCUUAGCUGCAUCCCAAACUUCUUUCGCAGUCGACAGAAACAGAUAAGUUUUACCUAUUGCUGGAGUCAUAGAGUUAACUAGCCAGGCUGUUAUCAUUGAAUUCUGAGACUUCCACUUCUGAAGAAGUGCCACAUCCGUUGGUUUCUUGGUAUCUCUAGUGAGAUACCCCAAUUUCCCUUUGCCUUCGAUAAUUAGUUUGAUGGAUUGGGCCCAUUCUCGGAAAUUUCCUCCGUUCAGAUUUUUUGACGGUGAGUUGAAAGGAAGAAUUUUCGACGUUAUUGGAUCCCAUGGAUGAGAUGACCUCUGUCUCGCUUUGGAGAGUUUCUGAGGUUGUAGAUUCCUUACUGUUUGUAGGAAUUUCUGACAUGGAUUGCUAGGUUAAUAGGGGUCUAGCUCUGAUACCAUGAAGGCUUGUAAAAAACACGUUUUCGUCUGUUUAUUGCCUUAAGAUACACUCUUCUGUACAUGACUUUAUAUACAAGUGAAUUAAGAAACAAGGAAGGAAACCAAUCUCCUAAAUAAGGGAAAAAUAAUUAUCCUACUUCACUAUAGAAAUAAUCAAAUAUGCAAUUUCAAUCAAAUCCCUAAUUUUCUCCAUUAAUCUGAUUUUCUACAUAGCUGUUACAUACUGAUUCCAGCAGAACUAUCGUUGAACUGUGAACUCACUCUGUGAAUCGGAAAAGUUUCCUGUGUUGUGUCCAUCGUUGUAAUCGUUAAAAUCCUAGAUAAAUCCGAUUAUUAUUCCUGGAAUUGAAAGUACAUUCUUCCUUGAGUCAACUUCGGCACGUGAAAUGUUCAUGACUGCCUUAUAAAUCUUGUUGGUUAAAUAAGAUAUCAAAUCUUUUGGGCUAAAUGCUUUGGUGUCUUAUCUAAGUUCUGUUUACUUAUUUGCUGUUGAGUUCUGGAUCGUUUUUAGAUUUGAUGGCAACAGAAGCAUGAGAAAAGUAUCCUUCGAGGUAGACAUUUGUUGUGUUAGGGAAGGCCUUUUAAUGGGGCUUAAUUGAGCAGUCCUAGUAUCCUCGAAAGAAUAAUAAAAGCCAAAGGCUUAAUUUCUUAAUAUCAAAGUCUAAAACAGGGAUCUAGACAUCAUAGGACACUAACCUGGCCAAUGGAAAGAGAGAAAAUGAGACACAACUAAAUUAGGAAACUAAAUGUUGAUAGAUCCUUAAUAUAUUGGAAACUGAGUUGCUUCAAUUGAUAUAAUUUGAUCUAAUUAGCAAGCAAUAUGAUUUGUUAAUACUAUGUUUCUGUUAUCACGUCUUUUUUGUCAUGUUCAAAUCCUGUUUAAUAAAAUAAAAAUUUGUCAUUGUUAUUAGUUAGUUAAUUGAUCCUCUCCUCAUAGUUAUGCACUGUUGAUGUGUAAGCUUUUAUUCUUGAGCAUACAUACUGAGUUUUUCAAACUGUAUUCUUGUCAAUUCUACUCUAUGUUUCUUUCUUUCUUUCUUUCUUUUUUCAAUUUUUUAUGUGGGGCAGGUGUAUUUCUUGAAGUCACUUGUUCUUGAGGUUUAUUGUGUUCUAUAUAUCACAGGUCCAGGAACAAGGAUAAAUUAAGAUAUAGAUAUCCUCGUGGGGAAUCUUAUCUAGAUGUUAUACAAAGGUUUGCAAUAAAAUGCUUUGCUAAUUCUUGGAAAGAUUUAGUUUAUCUGUUUAUUAUGCUUGGGUAAUGUUAUUUGCCUUUGGGCCUCUUUCAGGUUGGAACCUGUGAUUAUUGAACUUGAACGACAAAGAGCUCCGGUUGUGGUGGUAUCUCACCAGGUUUCACUUCUCAUCAUGAAACUGAAGUCUCAUCCCAAAAUGGCGUUGUAUUUCAGAGUGCUAAAAUGUUGUUAUUAUGGUCUGUCUUGCAGGCAGUACUGAGAGCUUUAUAUGCAUAUUUUGCUGACAGGCCAUUGCAAGAAAUACCCCACAUAGAGGUAAUUUGAGCAUGAUGGUUGAUAAUGUAAGAUGAUUAUUUGCCUGUAGUUUUACGCAUGAAAUGGAACUGACAAAUUCUCACUCAAUGUCUUUCACAUCUAACCAGAAGAAUUAUCUGUGGUUGCAACAUAUAUAGCACAUACAUGCUUUAAUGAUAUAGUAUUUAAUUUUCUUUUAUCACAACAAUCUUUACCCUUCACAAUCAGUGAAUAGGAAUUUUAAUUAAUGCUUAAGAUGCUAAGAAGCUAUGAAUUUUGGUUUGGCAAUUUGCAGAUGCCGCUUCAUACAAUCAUAGAGAUACAAAUGGGAGUCAGUGGUGUCCAGGAGAAAAGAUAUAAGCUCAUGGAUUAAAUUUGACUGAGAAAGUUGCUUAUAUGGAAAUUCUACACAUGGUACAGUAGCAAGGUCUCCAUAUUCUUGAAUGUAUAUUUCAUUAUAGGAUCUAAUCUUAACAGGGUUAUGUGACAACAAUUUAGUAGUCUCGACUACAAAUUUGGCUGUGCUCUCUCUUUCUCAGAGAGAGAGAGAGUCGCGCACUCAGGAACCUGUGCAUAUGUACGUGCAAAUCUCUUCAAAAAUAAGUUGGUGACUUCAUCAUGUAUUACCCUGAAUCUCGAGAUUUUGUUGUCUUCUUUGAUUGUAAUCUAUCGUUAUACAACAUGCUAACUUCCAAGCAUGGAGGAACUGUAAAUUGAACAUUCGCCUGUUGUUGAUAAUUGCAUUCAUCAGGUUAUACAUUUGCUCUGCUUGAUGAAGGAAGUUGAUCAUGUAACAAUUACCUGUUCGAUUAUUUUGUGUUGUACUUAUUGGGGUUAUUGUAGAUGCAGGAUAUAGUUUGACUUAAGUUGGCCUUGCAGGCUGUCUGAAACAAGUCAGAUACUGGUAAAUUCUGACUUGGUUUUCUUUUAUGCUUAAUCUUUAAGGUGUUUAGAGCAAUGUGGAUGGGUUCUAGCGCAAUAUUUACUACAUUUAGUCCCUGUUUGUUUCUCAUUUUUUUCUCAUUAAAAUGAAAAAUAUAACUGUUAUUCAUCACAUCAAGCCCCUAUACUUGAAUUUCUAUUUCUUGUGUGAGGCCCGUAACGGCUAUAUUUUUCAUUCCAAUUUUGACAUAAAUGGGAAACAAACGGGGCCUUAAUAUCUUGGAAGGAAACUGCCUAGUUUCAUGGUAAUCCACUUUCGCUUCAUCUCCCUACGAUUUCAACUUUUUAGAGUUAACAGGGGAACGCUUGCUACUACUAACCAGCCCAUUAUGCAUAUGAUUCAACAUGCCAACUAUUAAAGAACUUAUUAGAAAUAAAUUGGCGUUAUCUAUUAAAAAUUGUGGUAGGGCAGUUUAUGAAUGUCUUCGUGGUGUACUUGAUUUUACCAAAGAUGAUGAAAACUUGAACUCUCAGGCAUUUAUGUGUUGGAGAGAUUGUUUCUUAUUUUGUGUCGAAGCAAUUUAUAAAUCACAAGUUGAAAUAGGUGAAAUCAAAGGGCAUUACUUGAAUGUUGUUGGUAUAUGCGAAGGAUUGAUCAAAAGAGACACAAAUGGGGAAAAUUUCUCUCUUGCUUAUUCCUAUGCCUAUGAGUUCAAACUAAAGCUCUUAUUUUUUGUUGUGUAAUAGUAUGAAAUAAUGGACGGUAUAAAUUUAACAAUACUUUUUCUCCAAGAUCUGUUGCAGGAAUGGGAUAUUUCGAAUGAGUCUUGAAUGAGCCUCUCGAAAGCUUGAUACAACUAAACUAAGCCCGACCCAUAAAUGGCACAGUUUGGCGGGUGUGGGUGAAUGUAGUAGGAAGUGGACCGUGGUUCGUAGGGCAUUUUGUUUUUCUUAAUUUAUAUCUUCGUUCUUUUUCUUUUGCAUUUAUAUUUGUAAUUAAAAAUAAAGGUAUAAUCAUCUUUUUGGUCAAUUUUAAUUUUUUACUAUGAUAUUAAGGAGUGUAUUUCACUCAUACUUU
rnacentral:lncRNA from 1 species